rnacentral:pre_miRNA from 1 species
GGCCUUCUGAAUCCGUGCCGUGAUUUCGUCAAACACUAACACAUUAGAGCUCAUGAGACUUACAAGAUAAGUGAAGAG